AUUGAACGCUAGCGGGAUGCCUUACACAUGCAAGUCGAACGGAGUGGCGAACGGGUGAGUAAUGUACCGGAACGUGCCCAGUAGCGGGGGAUAACUACGCGAAAGCGUAGCUAAUACCGCAUACUAUUGGAGCGGCCGAUAUCGGAUUAGCUAGUUGGUGGGGUAACGGCUCACCAAGGCGACGACCCGUAGCCGGUUUGUGAGGACGACCAGCCAACCUGGGACUGAGACACGGCCCAGAUCCCUACGGGAGGCAGCAGUGGGGAAUUUUGGACAAUGGGGGAAACCCUGAUCCAGCCAUCCCGCGUGUGCGAUGAAGGCCUUCGGGUUGUAAAGCACUUUUGGCAGGAAGGCGGUACCUGCAGAAUAAGCACCGGCUAACUACGUGCCAGCAGCCGCGGUAAUAC
rnacentral:rRNA from 1 species